CGGAGGGACCAAGCGUUAUCCGGAAUCAUUGGGUUUAAAGGGUCCGUAGGCGGUUUUGUAAGUCAGUGGUGAAAGCCCAUCGCUCAACGGUGGAACGGCCAUUGAUACUGCAAGACUUGAAUUAUUAGGAAGUAACUAGAAUAUGUAGUGUAGCGGUGAAAUGCUUAGAUAUUACAUGGAAUACCAAUUGCGAAGGCAGGUUACUACUAAUGGAUUGACGCUGAUGGACGAAAGCGUGGGGAGCGAACAGGAUUAGAUACCCUGGUAGUCCACGCCGUAAACGAUGGAUACUAGCUGUUCGGAGCAAUCUGAGUGGCUAGGCGAAAGUGAUAAGUAUCCCACCUGGGGAGUACGCUCGCAAGAGUG
rnacentral:rRNA from 1 species